GUAGAGCAGUUUGGUAGCUCACGAGGCUCAUAACCUUGAGGUCACGGGUUCGAU
rnacentral:tRNA from 2 species